rnacentral:lncRNA from 1 species
UUGAGAGUAUUUUAGAAUAAUAAAUGAUUUCACGUGUCGAUUUGGACUCGUGUUAAGUUUUAUAUUUUUUUGUUUGUUUUUCCAUUAUUUAAUAAGUCUUCAGUUUUAGAAGUUUUUGUCUGCUCUUGUAGCACAUUUUUUAGUCUUGCUUAUGCAUGUAAUCUUAGUUUUACAAGUAAUUUUAGGGAUGAUUUUGUUGUCGUCCUCUC